rnacentral:misc_RNA from 1 species
UGAGCGCCAGGGGCUGGAGCCUGUC